GACGAACGCUGGCGGCGUGCUUAACACAUGCAAGUCAAACGGAAAGGCCCUGCUUUUGUGGGGUGCUCGAGUGGCGAACGGGUGGGUAACACGUGAGUAACCUGCCCUUGACUUUGGGAUAACUUCAGGAAACUGGGGCUAAUACCGGAUAGGAGCUCCUGCUGCAUGGUGGGGGUUGGAAAGUUUCGGCGGUUGGGGAUGGACUCGCGGCUUAUCAGCUUGUUGGUGGGGUAGUGGCUUACCAAGGCUUUGACGGGUAGCCGGCCUGAGAGGGUGACCGGCCACAUUGGGACUGAGAUACGGCCCAGACUCCUACGGGAGGCAGCAGUGGGGAAUAUUGCACAAUGGGCGGAAGCCUGAUGCAGCAACGCCGCGUGCGGGAUGACGGCCUUCGGGUUGUAAACCGCUUUCGCCUGUGACGAAGCGUGAGUGACGGUAAUGGGUAAAGAAGCACCGGCUAACUACGUG
rnacentral:rRNA from 1 species